GUUAUAUUAAUCCACAUGGCUGAAAAAUAACUUUUCCUAUUUUAAUUAAAAUGCAAUUGUACGAUGUUGUUCACCAUUUAUAUGCAUUAGCAUAGAUAUUGUGAGUUGAACUGCCUUCUUGUUUUGAAUUUCUACUCUCUCUCUCUCUCUCUCUCUCUCUCUCUCUCUCUCUCUAGAGCUGGUCUAUAUAUUUGCAUAAUCUUAUUCUUCAAGUUCUAGCACAAUACACUCAGUUUGUUUCUCUGUUAGCCUAACUCGCUCGGUAUGUGCCUAACACUCACAUGGUGCUUAAAGAUGUAUCUAACACAACAUGGACAUGGCUAUCACGUAUCAAGUGCUUCCAUGCUUCCUUGAGAAGGUUCUUCCUUGGUAGCACGAAGGAGGGGCAGGGGUAGGAGUGGGAGCAGGUGCGAGGGAGCGGAGGCACCUAGACGCUCCUAAGGUUGGUGUGAUGCCUCGUAGCCAGGGAAAAGACCCGGGUUGAGGCCGUGGUGACCCUAGUCACGAGUCCCACAUCGCUUGGUGAAGUGUAAGUUGUGAGCUAUUAAGUAAUAGAUUAUGUCCCUACCUUGUACAAGGCCUUUUAAAGCCGUGAGGGCAUCACCUACUGGGAAGUCCACGGAGCUUGGGCGGCCAAAGCUGACAAUAUUGUGCAAGGUAAGAGUGGGCCAUUACAGAUGGUAUCAGAGCUUGCAUCAACCGGAAAUGUGGGAAAAAUCUGACCCCACACAAGAACGUGUGUUCCUAAGUGGGGGAUAUUGUGACACCCCAUAGCCUGGGAAAAGACUUGAGUUGAGGCCAUGGUGACCCUAGUCUCGAGUCCCACAUCGCUUGGUGAAGUGUAAGUUGUGAGCUAUAAGUAAUAGAUUAUGACCCUACCUUGUACAAGGCCUUUUAAAGCCUUGAGGGCGUCAAAACUUAUUGGAACUUCACAUUUCAGUGUACUCACCCUGGAGUAGUCUUGGGAUAGGUGACCUACUGGAAAGUCCACAAAGCUUGGGCGGCCAAAGCGGACAAUAUUGUGCAAGGCAGGAGCGGGCCAUUACAGUUGAGAGCGCCUAAGGAGCAUAUAUAGAUUAUAUAAAAUAUCUUUAAAUACUUAACCAUUAAAGGAAAAGUGAUACUUAUUGAAAAAAUUUCCGAUCUUAAAGUGUAAUUAUUGGAAGUUAUAUAUUCUCAAUUUGCAAAACUUCUUGACUAAUAUGAUUCUCGUAUUCUUAUUUCCACAAUGGCAUAACUCCCUUAAAAGUAAGAGAAUAACUGCCUUAACGGCCCGAUAAGCUCCCAUCUUAGUUAGGAGCGAACUCCCAUCUCGAGGGGAGUGAGCUCCCGUCAAGCUCCCAUCUUGGGAGCGCCGAUUCGAGCUCCAGUCUAGGGAGCGCACCUAUUUUAGAAGGAUCCUGCUACUAAGGGUUCUUCCCUUACAUACGAGGAUAUAUGGUUUCUUUUGUCCCUGGAAGAUUCUCUUGUAGCUAUGCGCCUUUGACACAUAGCUAUCGUCUAUGUGGAAAUUUGUCUUUCGUAAUUCUCUGCAGAAAAUAUAGCUUUUGAGAUUCCAUUAUAUAUGUGUGUAUAUGUCCCUUUCAGAAAAAAAAGAA